AUUGAACGCUGGCGGCAGGCCUAACACAUGCAAGUCGAGCGGAUGAAGAGAGCUUGCUCUCUGAUUCAGCGGCGGACGGGUGAGUAAUGCCUAGGAAUCUGCCUGGUAGUGGGGGACAACGUUUCGAAAGGAACGCUAAUACCGCAUACGUCCUACGGGAGAAAGUGGGGGAUCUUCGGACCUCACGCUAUCAGAUGAGCCUAGGUACGAUUAGCUAGUUGGUGAGGUAAAGGCUCACCAAGGCGACGAUCGUUAACUGGUCUGAGAGGAUGAUCAGUCACACUGGAACUGAGACACGGGCCAGGCUCCUACGGGAGGCAGCAGUGGGGAAUAUUUGACAAUGGGCGAACGCCUGAUCCAGCCAUGCCGCGUGUGUGAAGAAGGUCUUCGGAUUGUAAAGCACUUUAAGUUGGGAGGAAGGGCAGUAAGUUAAUACCUUGCUGCUUUGACGUUACCGACAGAAUAAGCACCGGCUAACUUCGUGCCAGCCGCCGCCGUAAUAC
rnacentral:rRNA from 1 species